UACGAAGGGGGCUAGCGUUGUUCGGAAUCACUGGGCGUAAAGGGCGCGUAGGCGGGCUUUGUAAGUCGGGGGUGAAAGCCUGUGGCUCAACCACAGAAUUGCCUUCGAUACUGCAUGGCUUGAGACCGGAAGAGGUAAGUGGAACUGCGAGUGUAGAGGUGAAAUUCGUAGAUAUUGCAAGAACACCAGUGGCGAAGGCGGCUUACUGGUCCGGUUCUCGACGC
rnacentral:rRNA from 1 species